GACGAACGCUGGCGGCGUGCUUAACACAUGCAAGUCGAACGGAAAGGCCCUGCUUGCAGGGUACUCGAGUGGCGAACGGGUGAGUAACACGUGGGUGAUCUGCCCUGCACUUCGGGAUAAGCCUGGGAAACUGGGUCUAAUACCGGAUAGGAGCCAUUUUUAGUGUGAUGGUUGGAAAGUUUUUUCGGUGUAGGAUGAGCUCGCGGCCUAUCAGCUUGUUGGUGGGGUAAUGGCCUACCAAGGCGGCGACGGGUAGCCGGCCUGAGAGGGUGGACGGCCACAGUGGGACUGAGAUACGGCCCAGACUCCUACGGGAGGCAGCAGUGGGGAAUAUUGCACAAUGGGCGCAAGCCUGAUGCAGCGACGCCGCGUGGGGGAUGACGGCCUUCGGGUUGUAAACUCCUUUCGCUAGGGACGAAGCUUUUUGUGACGGUACCUAGAGAAGAAGCACCGACUAACUACGUG
rnacentral:rRNA from 1 species